rnacentral:rRNA from 1 species
UAGAGAAUAUUGGACAAUGGGGCAACCCUGAUCCGGGCAUGCCGCGUGUGUGAAGAAGGCCUUAGGGUUGUAAAGCACUUUAGGUAAGGAAGAAAAGUUAAUAGUUAAUACCUGUUAACCGUGACAUUACUUACAGAAUAAGGACCGGCUAACUCCGUGCCAGCAGCCGCGGUAAUACGGAGGGUCCAAGCGUUAAUCGGAGUUACUGGGCGUAAAGCGCGCGUAGGCGGUACGCUAAGUUGGGUGUGAAAUCCCCGGGCUUAACCUGGGAACUGCAUUCAAAACUUGUGUACUGGAGUACGAAAGAGGCGAGUAGAAUUCAUGGUGUAGCGGUGAAAUGCGUAGAUAUCAUGAGGAAUACCAAUGGCGAAGGCAACUCGCUGGUUCGUAACUGACGCUGAGGUGCGAAAGCGUGGGUAGCAAACAGG